rnacentral:rRNA from 1 species
UAAUAGUGUAUAUUAAAGUUGUUGCAGUUAAAAAGCUCGUAGUUGAAUGUUGGUGUCGAACGAGCGGUCAGCUUCGGCUGUACUGCUCUCUCGACUCCUUCCUUCUGUGGACUACGUCGCACUUUACUGUGUGGCGCUAGGACGCAGAUCGUUUACUGUGAAAAAAUUAGAGUGUUCAAAGCAGGCCGUACGCUUGAAUACAUUAGCAUGGAAUAAUGGAAUAGGACGUCGGGCCUAUUUUGUUGGUUCUAGGACCGUCGUAAUGAUUAAUAGGGACAGUUGGGGCCGUUUAUAUUCCGUAGUCAGAGGUGAAAUUCUUGGAUUUACGGAAGAUAAACUACUGCGAAAGCAGUCGGCAAGGAUGUUUUCGUUAA